rnacentral:tRNA from 1 species
UCCCUGGUAGUCCAGUGCUUAAGACCCUGCACUCCCAAUGCAGAUGGCACAGGUUCAAUUCCUGGUUGGGAAA